rnacentral:rRNA from 1 species
UACAGAGGGUGCGAGCGUUAAUCGGAAUUACUGGGCGUAAAGCGUGCGUAGACGGCUAUCUAAGUCGGGUGUGAAAGCCCCGGGCUCAACCUGGGAAUUGCAUUCGAGACUGAAUAGCUAGGGUACGGUAGAGGGAAGCGGAAUUUCCGGUGUAGCGGUGAAAUGCGUAGAUAUCGGAAGGAACAUCAGUGGCGAAAGCGGCUCCAUGGACCAGUACCGA